GACGAACGCUGGCGGCGUGCUUAACACAUGCAAGUCGAACGGAAAGGCCCUGCUUUUGUGGGGUGCUCGAGUGGCGAACGGGUGAGUAACACGUGAGUAACCUGCCCUUGACUUUGGGAUAACUUCAGGAAACUGGGGCUAAUACCGGAUAGGAGCUCCUGCUGCAUGGUGGGGGUGGGAAGUUUGGGCGGUUGGGGAUGGAAUUGCGGCUUUUCAGCUUGUUGGUGGGGUAGUGGCUUACCAAGGCUUUGACGGGUAGCCGGCCUGAGAGGGUGACCGGCAACAUUGGGACUGAGAUACGGCCCAGACUCCUACGGGAGGCAGCAGUGGGGAAUAUUGCACAAUGGGCGGAAGCCUGAUGCAGCAACGCCGCGUGCGGGAUGACGGCCUUCGGGUUGUAAACCGCUUUCGCCUGUGACGAAGCGUGAGUGACGGUAAUGGGUAAAGAAGCACCGGCUAACUACGUG
rnacentral:rRNA from 1 species